rnacentral:rRNA from 1 species
GAUGGACGCUGGCGGCGUGCCUAAUACAUGCAAGUCGAGCGAACGGACGAGAAGCUUGCUUCUCUGAUGUUAGCGGCGGACGGGUGAGUAACACGUGGAUAACCUACCUAUAAGACUGGGAUAACUUCGGGAAACCGGAGCCAAUACCGGAUAAUAUUUUGAACCGCAUGGUUCAAAAGUGAAAGACGGUCUUGCUGUCGCUUAUAGAUGGAUCCGCGCUGCAUUAGCUAGUUGGUAAGGUAACGGCUUACCAAGGCAACGAUGCAUAGCCGACCUGAGAGGGUGAUCGGCCACACUGGAACUGAGACACGGUCCAGACUCCUACGGGAGGCAGCAGUAGGGAAUCUUCCGCAAUGGGCGAAAGCCUGACGGAGCAACGCCGCGUGAGUGAUGAAGGUCUUCGGAUCGUAAAACUCUGUUAUUAGGGAAGAACAUAUGUGUAAGUAACUGUGCACAUCUUGACGGUACCUAAUCAGAAAGCCACGGCUAACUACGUGCCAGCAGCCGCGGUAAUACGUAGGUGGCAAGCGUUAUCCGGAAUUAUUGGGCGUAAAGCGCGCGUAGGCGGUUUUUUAAGUCUGAUGUGAAAGCCCACGGCUCAACCGUGGAGGGUCAUUGGAAACUGGAAAACUUGAGUGCAGAAGAGGAAAGUGGAAUUCCAUGUGUAGCGGUGAAAUGCGCAGAGAUAUGGAGGAACACCAGUGGCGAAGGCGACUUUCUGGUCUGUAACUGACGCUGAUGUGCGAAAGCGUGGGGAUCAAACAGGAUUAGAUACCCUGGUAGUCCACGCCGUAAACGAUGAGUGCUAAGUGUUAGGGGGUUUCCGCCCCUUAGUGCUGCAGCUAACGCAUUAAGCACUCCGCCUGGGGAGUACGACCGCAAGGUUGAAACUCAAAGGAAUUGACGGGGACCCGCACAAGCGGUGGAGCAUGUGGUUUAAUUCGAAGCAACGCGAAGAACCUUACCAAAUCUUGACAUCCUUUGACAACUCUAGAGAUAGAGCCUUCCCCUUCGGGGGACAAAGUGACAGGUGGUGCAUGGUUGUCGUCAGCUCGUGUCGUGAGAUGUUGGGUUAAGUCCCGCAACGAGCGCAACCCUUAAGCUUAGUUGCCAUCAUUAAGUUGGGCACUCUAAGUUGACUGCCGGUGACAAACCGGAGGAAGGUGGGGAUGACGUCAAAUCAUCAUGCCCCUUAUGAUUUGGGCUACACACGUGCUACAAUGGACAAUACAAAGGGCAGCGAAACCGCGAGGUCAAGCAAAUCCCAUAAAGUUGUUCUCAGUUCGGAUUGUAGUCUGCAACUCGACUACAUGAAGCUGGAAUCGCUAGUAAUCGUAGAUCAGCAUGCUACGGUGAAUACGUUCCCGGGUCU